UACUUGGGUUGCUGCAAGUUAGUAUUUAUUUAUUUUAAUCACAAAAGCUUUGAUUGAUAUCGAUAUGGGAGCCCACAUAUUUAUCUUUUGUAGAAGCACUCGGUCCUCCUUCACUGAAGCUAAACGACGUCGUGGUGGAGAUGCUCUUCUGGAGGGGAAGCAGUAACCAGCUUCAAUCUACUCCUUCUUGUGGAAAGACUUGUCUUCUUUUACAAUUUGCAUUCAAUGUAGCACUCCACUCCAAUAACAACGUCAUCUUCAUUUGCUACCGCCUUGGGUUGGAUUCCAAACCCCCUUUUCUUUCUCAGGUACGUGAAUGAUGAUCAAGACAUUCGCAAGUACUUUGCUGCCUUCCACCUGUAUGAUGCAUUGCCUGCAGCUGUUCUUAUUGAUGAUUUCGGAGAUUUCUUUGACGACAAGUGAAUGAAUGGUAAUUAAUUGGCUUCAUUUCAUUUCUAAAUUCUGUGGCAGUCAAAAAGGGUCUUGCAAGGGUUCUCUUGUCAGAUACUCAUACUCACCAGAGAGACUCCCCAAGGUUUCACUUCAUCUAUAAGAAAUGGAUACAAACCACUUUUACUAUUAAAGAGGGGGACGUACCUGGAUCAUUUAUUGUCAAAGAUAGGAGUCAUUCACCAACUGAUCACACAACUACUAUUAAAGCUGCAAAGUACUCCAUAGCUCUUCAAUAUCUGGUUUUUCAUGGAAUUGUCGAAGAUCAAUUACAAUAGACAUUUACAUGUAACUGAGACAUAUAUUCUCUCGUUCCAUUUAACAAUUAUUAAUCAACAAUAUACUGAACUCCGAUGCCCAGCAUUAUUAGUGUCAAAUCUUGGGUUAUGUGACAUGCAGUGUAGAACAACCUGACCAGGUAUCCCUGCUGCGAGUGUAUCUACUACUUCUAUACUUUAUAAACAAAAAACAUCUGCGGACA